UACGUAGGGGGCUAGCGUUGUCCGGAAUCAUUGGGCGUAAAGAGCGUGUAGGCGGCCCGGUAAGUCCGCUGUGAAAGUCGGGGGCUCAACCCUCGGAUGCCGGUGGAUACUGUCGGGCUCGAGUACGGAAGAGGCGAGUGGAAUUCCUGGUGUAGCGGUGAAAUGCGCAGAUAUCAGGAGGAACACCUAUUGCGAAGGCAGCUCGCUGGGACGUUACUGACGCUGAGACGCGAAAGCGUGGGGAGCAAACAGGG
rnacentral:rRNA from 1 species